AAAAAAAAAAAAAAAUUCUACAAUGUACUUAUUAUUUGAGAGAAGAGGUUUAAUGGCACUUAAAAAAUUCCAUGCCAGUUUUAUGUUCUUAACUGGAUCAACUAUAAUUGACCUCCUUUACUCGCAUGAAGAAAUCUGUGUUCAGUAGUGAAAAGAUGCAGAGUUAACAUUACAUUUAUCUGCUACUUUGAAAAGCAUGAAUUUUCUAUAUGGGACAAUAGACAAAAUACAGACCAGCUCUAUCAUCUGCAUGUGCAAUGUUUUAAAGACCAUAAACUUUAAUGGGGGUUCUGAGACACAAUAACACAGAAAUUUUCACCUUCUUUUUUCCAUUAUAUGACUCUUUUUCUUCCCUUCUACGCCUUCCUAUUCUGUGCAAGUCUUAUUCUUUCUCAUUAUAAUUUACCAGAAAACUAAAUUUCCAGUUGAACCAAACCCGACCCCGCAACAUAGCAUCAU
rnacentral:misc_RNA from 1 species